GGUGCCUUCGGGAACUGUGAGACAGGUGCUGCAUGGCUGUCGUCAGCUCGUGUUGUGAAAUGUUGGGUUAAGUCCCGCAACGAGCGCAACCCUUAUCCUUUGUUGCCAGCGGUCCGGCCGGGAACUCAAAGGAGACUGCCAGUGAUAAACUGGAGGAAGGUGGGGAUGACGUCAAGUCAUCAUGGCCCUUACGACCAGGGCUACACACGUGCUACAAUGGCGCAUACAAAGAGAAGCGACCUCGCGAGAGCAAGCGGACCUCAUAAAGUGCGUCGUAGUCCGGAUUGGAGUCUGCAACUCGACUCCAUGAAGUCGGAAUCGCUAGUAAUCGUGGAUCAGAAUGCCACGGUGAAUACGUUCCCGGGCCUUGUACACACCGCCCGUCACACCAUGGGAGUGGGUUGCAAAAGAAGUAGGUAGCUUAACCUUCGGGAGGGCGCUUACCACUUUGUGAUUCAUGACUGGGGUGAAGUCGUAACAAGGUAACCGUAGGGGAACCUGCGGUUGGAUCACCUCCUUACCUUAAAGAAGC
rnacentral:rRNA from 2 species